rnacentral:tRNA from 1 species
CGGGGCGUGGCGCAGCCUGGUAGCGCGGCUGCUUUGGGAGCAGUAGGUCGGAGGUUCAAAUCCUCUCGCCCCGACCA